rnacentral:rRNA from 1 species
GAUGAACGCUGGCGGCGUGCCUAAUACAUGCAAGUCGAGCGAACAGACGAGGAGCUUGCUCCUCUGACGUUAGCGGCGGACGGGUGAGUAACACGUGGAUAACCUACCUAUAAGACUGGGAUAACUUCGGGAAACCGGAGCUAAUACCGGAUAAUAUAUUGAACCGCAUGGUUCAAUAGUGAAAGACGGUUUUGCUGUCACUUAUAGAUGGAUCCGCGCCGCAUUAGCUAGUUGGUAAGGUAACGGCUUAUCAAGGCAACGAUGCGUAGCCGACCUGAGAGGGUGAUCGGCCACACUGGAACUGAGACACGGUCCAGACGACUACGGGAGGCAGCAGUAGGGAAUCUUCCGCAAUGGGCGAAAGCUUGACGGAGCAACGCCGCGUGAGUGAUGAAGGUCUUCGGAUCGUAAAACUCUGUUAUUAGGGAAGAACAAAUGUGUAAGUAACUAUGCACGUCUUGACGGUACCUAAUCAGAAAGCCACGGCUAACUACGUG